rnacentral:misc_RNA from 1 species
UUAAAAUUAAAUGCUAAUCGUGACUAAUCAGUUCAAGAAUGGGAACCAAAACCAAUCCAAGAGUUAUUGAAGUCAACUAAUUCAGAUUUUUUUAGUUUGGAUAUUCUAUCUAUUGGUUCAGUUCAAACUUAGAAUGUAGUUCUCUAUGUGCUUUUUAAGCUAUGGAACAAUCUUGAAAUGUAACGUUUUUUAAUUCAUAAGUUCAACCAGUGGGGUAAACAGAACACCAAGAAGAAAGUAAACAUACAGAAUAAUCAUACAAGACAAGAAAAUAUACAGAAUAAUCAUAAACAUAUCUUUUGGGAAAUUAAGAAGAUAAUAGACACAGGGAAAAACAAUAGAAAGAAACUUCAAGAGAAUCUACCAGAAAAUCAUCAUCUGCGUACACACACACACACAUACGCUUUUUCAUUUUUCUAUUGGAUACCUUUGCUUCCCAUAACUAGUUUUCAGGAUAUAUUAUUCUUGACGAAAAAAGUAGAAUUUAAGGAUGGGGUUGAUUAGGAUGUGGUGAUGCUUUAAGAGAGUGAAAUAAUCAAGAAUUGUUGAGAUGGUUGUUGCCUUAAGGUUACAAGAUGUCAGAGAAAAUGUUCUGUCUUUAAUUAAGAAAGAAUUCUCUGUUGUCUUAAUUUUUGAAUUUACAUGAAAUAAGGUUGCCAUAGUGGAAGAGGUUCUAUGCAUUUUGGGCCUUUCCCUUACAUUGCAAAGAGGAUUUUGAAACUGUAACCUCCAAGCUGUAAUUGAACUACCUUUCAUUUCUUUCUUACUGUUAUUGAAUUUGCAUGAAACAUUUGAAAAAAUUGUGAGAAAUAUAUAUAAGACACACCAUAAUCUCCUAGAAAAUCAGAAUGUGAAUGAAAAGGUUAAAUUGAAAUUAAUUGUAAUAAAAUAGAUGCAGGGUACAGCUAUGAAUUGAAAUUCUUGAUCUAUUGAAUUGAACUGAAUACUUGCAAAUAUUGCCCAAAUAGACUUGUCGGAAAAUUAUAAGUGUUGAGUGGGCACUGGACUAUUGGCCCAAUUGCAUAAAAAUUCCGAGCUAUGAUCCAUAACAAAUUGAACUUAUUGAAAAAUCGAUAAGGGAAAUAAAUAUCGUGCUAAUUGCUAAGAUGGUAUUUUCAUAAGAAAAUUUGGUAACCUCCAAAAUCCGAUUUUGGUAAGAUUUUAUAGCUGGCCCAAG